UCGUCUCCUCCCCAAUCCCCUCCUCUGCCGCCGCCACAUCUCCUUCCAUCGUGUGGCCGGCCGCCAGCCUCCUCCCCGCCCCUCCCCCUCGCGAUCGCCGGCUGCAGCCGCCUGCAACUCCCCGCUGUCGAUCUCCGCCGGCGUGAUCGUGAGCCUCCUCUAGCCCUUUCACGGCCGCGCCCUCACCAUCCCCAGCCGAGCUCCGCCGCGGCCUCCACCCCAGCGGCCAUACACCGCACAAAAAGCGGCAGCCUCAAUCCCCAGCCCCUCCUCCCCGUGUGCAGUGGUCGGCCGGCCGGCUUAGUUUCUGCGCUCCUGCAUGGACUCUGUGGGAUUCAACGCUGGUUGAUGGGUUUGGGCCCUCGGAUGCGUCGCCGCCUGGAGUCGCUCACUCACUGAUGUGUGGAGUUGCCUCGCCGCCGUGCCCAUUGUAGUUCUCAUGGUCUAACAGCCGUGCAAUUUAUGCCCUCGAAACUUGGCUGAAGGCUAUUGCAAAUAAAUCAUGGAUUGGAGUGAAUUAGUGGAUAUGCAUAUUUGUUGUGCAGGCUAGAAGGUGAAGAUCGAUUGGUGUUGCAUAUUUGUUGUGCAGACCAGAUGAUGCAGGUCAAUUGGUGUCUGUAUUAUUCCCUAUGUGGCAGUGUGUUCAGUUUUAGGAAAGGGAAUAAUACUGUGAGAGGUACUAUCAUCUCAGAGGUGAGCUAUUUAUCCGGUUCUAAGUGCACUUUGUUUCUCCAUUUUUAAUGACAUGAGGGUCCGAGUUCUCUGGGCUGAUCUACCUGAAGCCAUGUCUCAGACUCAUUCAUUCCCUAGGUGUGCCUUUAUUCAUACGAAGGUUGAUUUAUACGUAUCGGUUGACCCUAAUUUUGUUGGAUUUCAUGGGAAACAUUGCGAAGCUUGACCCUGGAAAGGGAUGCAUGAAGUGACUGGUUCUUGCUAUGGGAACUUUCAAUAUUGCAAUGGAGCCAAGAAAUUUCUUUGAAGUUCAUUUUCGAGAACCUUGAGUAAAGAUGAUCAGGCCAUCCAUGAGCCAGAGACAAUCCAGCUUUUGAGAAAUAUAGUUGUAAAUUGCAUAUGUACAUAUUGUAGCUUUCGAAAAAUAUUUGUGUUCAUCUAGAUCUCUGGUUUAUCAGAUUGGUUGAUGUCUGGUCUAGAUUGGUUCUCGUCUGCUUGUGAGGCAUAGUUGUAAAUCGCAUAUGUACAUAUUGUAGCUUUUGAGAAAUACUAGAUCUCUGGUUUAUAGAUCAUGAAAGAGCUUGCAAAAUCCUCCUUGCAGAUGGUGUUAGGGUUGCAUGCCCUCGACGCUCUCCCUCUCCGCCCCGGCCAGCCAUCAAGGUCUUGAGGUGUGCAAGAUGGUGGCUGAUGAAUAUGCUAGAGUUCAACACACUGAAGUGUACUUAUCGGUUUGUUAAAGAAAUUUAUGAAUCCUGGGUGUACGUGUUCUCUGUACAGGUUCUGAAAAUCAUUUUCUUAUAGUGAUAUUCCACAUGAAUUUAUAUGAAUAGACAUAGGGAAUGGUGUGCAGGAAGUUAUUGUAUAAUCUUCAGCAUUACAAUAUUAUUAUCAUUCUCUCUGCAAGAAGUUUAAUUCAUUACUGUUACCUUUUGGCCCGAAUGAUUUUUUUUUUAAAAUGAUUUUUCUUUGGCCAUGUAGAGUGAAUGCUAUUCUGAACUUCAAAAGCAGUGAGGGGCUCAUUUUGGAACAAGAACAUAAUUUUUAGAAAAUACUGAGAUCAUGGUGACCAUGUAUUCUCUACACUUGGAUUUGCAUCUUCUCUCUUCAGUGCUUUGAUGUGUUACAGACUGUUAAAAAUUAUUUUAGAUUUAUUGUUUGUAUAAAUGUUGUUGUGAGUUAUACCUUUUAGCUUUAGCCUUUGGUAUUAUACAUGUGUAUUUCGAUUAAUAGAUUGCUUUCAGGAUUAUGUUUUGGUGCUUUGGAUGUUCCAAUCUAUUGUUGCUUAUAUACUUAUUUAUUCUUUUUGUCACAUAGCAUUAUAGUUUAAAGGGUAGUUUUUUUAAUACUUCCAUGUUUGAAGAAUAAACUGCUCGCCGGGGGAUAAUAUCUCUGCUUUCUUUUAAUUCAGAUGUGUAAUCCUUCAGUUUUUUGGGAUAUGCCCCCUUAGUACAAUAUUAAUAAAUGGUAUUGACGUCACAUUAAGAGAGGUAACGGAAGGACUGGAUAGCAGAGAAAUAAAUUGAUCACAUUUCAGUUUAAACGCCACUAGAUUGUUACUAGUGUAGUGUGCUUAAAAUUUCUUAUAUGUCUCUUAUCUUCCCUCCAUUUUCCCAUGUUUCAUUGAAAGAGAUACCUUGUUUUACGAGGGGGUAUGGUCCGCACAUUUGACAUUUUUCUUUGUGCUUCCGGUAUUUGCUGCAUUUUAUAUGCUUUGUUCAUUGGGUCGUGCUUUAGGUACAAGCAGUAUACGUGAACCAAGGAUACUAUGUAAAUUGGUAUUAACUAUACAUUAUAAUGGUUAAUGUAAACCCUUGCAGGUGUCAGUAGAAGUUAUUAUGCAUCCUCUCAUGGGCAGCACCAAAAGGCCAUAGUCGACGCUAAGUUCUGAACUUCAGAGGUCCUCACUGUUGGCCUUUCUUUUAUUUUGUGAUUGUUCACUUGACCAUAUACUAUUUUAGUUCUUAGAUGAUUCCUUUUUUGUUUACAUCCCUACCAUAGAAUAAACAGAAGAAAAUAUUUAAAAGCACAUUAGGUGAUAUUGAGGCUAAUUCCUAUGGCCAGGUGUACGGCUAGAGGGUUUAAAUUAUUUUCUUAUCUUUGAUGAAAUUGUCCGUAUUAUCUUUGUGUGCUCCUUAUCUUUUCUCAGAUUAUUAUAUGAAAAGAAGAAACUAUAUUUUUCUUAUAAUGGCGUGAUGGUUCAGUUUUUGGGUAGCAUAGAACACUACAAAAAAGAAGGGUAACAAUACAGAGAUACAAGUAUGCGGAAAGCUGAUCAAAGGGUAGAUAACUGUCAGACCUGCUCUUGCAUCACUGGCAGGAGAAUACAUGUUAUUCUCUCUCCGCUCCUGGACACAAGCAGUUGGGUGAUUUCAUAUGAACAGUAGAAAUUGUAGUUGAAAUCCAUUAGAGCUUAGCUGUUUAUCCGUAAAUUGUCAUAGAUGGUAGCACUAUACACAUAACACAACAAUAAUCUACUUAUGCUACAAUAUUUAAAUGCAGUCUAUAGCUUUUCUGCGAGGCAUUGUUCGCCAUGUGGUGUCGAGUGUUGCUAUCUGAUUUUUUUUGUCUCGCUGCAGUCUAUAUCUUUUCCCAAAUGGCCAAAUCAACUGCUUUUCUUACUAAAAGAAUGGUAGAAAUUAUAUGUGAAGGUCAAGUAUGAAUUUGCAGCUGACAAUGUGAUCCUAAUGUGUAUUAUAGAAAUCAUUUGCAUCAGCUUGGUUUAAUAUUUUGAGUUACUUUGUAGUUACUUUCAUGGUUGUCAGCGUCCCAGGCCCUAGGUGAGUUCUUGCAAAUAUUUAUUUCCUAUAAUCCAGGUCAAGGUUUAUCGUACUUUUAAUCAAGAUUCUGAUCUACUUGCAUUUUGUGGUAUUUAUCCUGAGACUGAAAUGGUUAUUCGAGGUUACUUGCACUGAUAAAUAGAGACUGAGCCAGUCAUCUAUCAUGAUUCUGAUCUACCUCUAUUCUAUCAAGAUUCUGAUCUACCUCCAUUUUCUGGUCUUCUUUUGUAGAGGUUGAGCCCAUCUGGAAAGGAGCAACUGAACUGAUAAUUUGCUUGGCUCGUGCAAGAAUGGAUAAUGUGAUUGUGGCGCAGUUCUCAGAUGGCUAUAUGGAUGCAGUUAUAAUAAGAGACUUUCCAAAGGCUGAUCUCAUAGCUUUGCUACUCAAGGGCCGUUGUCCCGUUUAAGGUUGCUGCCUGAAGGCUCUGUUGUUUUCUGGUAGAUUUGGGAUUCAACUCUGUUGCAGGUAAGCUUUAGCAUCUGAAAGGGAUCUUUUGGGAAUCAUGUUCUGCUAGAAGAUUUCAGUUUGCCAGUGUUGCAGUAGUUUGCAAGCAAUCUUCUCAUGUUGUAUAUCCUCUCCAAGCCACUAUAUGUUCAUUAGAUCGGUUAUGCUUCACAUUAUACAGUUUGGCAGCAUGAUCAUGUAUCGUAUACAGUUUGAUAAGUGUGUUAAAUAUUGCUGAAGUUGGUGUUGCUUUUUAAUGG